UACAGAGGUGGCAAGCGUUGUUCGGAUUUACUGGGCGUAAAGAGCGCGCAGGCGGUCGUUCAAGUCGCGUGUGAAAGCCCCCGGCUCAACUGGGGAGGGUCACGCGAUACUGAUCGACUCGAAGGCAGGAGAGGGUAGUGGAAUUCCCGGUGUAGUGGUGAAAUGCGUAGAUAUCGGGAGGAACACCAGUGGCGAAGGCGACUACCUGGCCUGUUUCUUGACGCUGAGGCGCGAAAGCUAGGGGAGCAAACGGG
rnacentral:rRNA from 1 species